UAACGGAGGGUGCGAAGCGUUAUCCGGAUUCGACUGGGUUUAAAGGGUGCGUAGGUGGGUUGGUAAGUCAGUGGUGAAAUCGUCCGUGCUUAACAUGGAAACUGCCCAUUGAUACUACUGGUCUUGAAUUUUCCGGAGGUGAAGCGGAAUAUGUCAUGUAGCGGUGAAAAUGCUUAGAUAUGACAUAGAACACCAAUUGCGAAGGCAGCUCGCUACACGAAUAUUGACUCUGAGGCACGGAAAAGCGUGGGGGAUCAAAACAGG
rnacentral:rRNA from 1 species